rnacentral:rRNA from 1 species
GUUGCUUGACACAUGCAAGUCGAGGGGCAGCACGCCUUCGGGUGGUGGCGACCGGCGCACGGGUGAGUAACACGUAUGCAACCUGCCUUUUACACUGGGAUAACCCGGCGAAAGUCGGACUAAUACCGGAUGAAACAGGGAUACCGCAUGGUAAUAUUUGUUAAAGAUUAAUUGGUAAAGGAUGGGCAUGCGUUGGAUUAGAUAGUUGGCAGGGUAACGGCCUACCAAGUCUGCGAUCCAUAGGGGCACUGAGAGGUUUACCCCCCACACUGGUACUGAGACACGGACCAGACUCCUACGGGAGGCAGCAGUGAGGAAUAUUGGUCAAUGGUCGAGAGACUGAACCAGCCAAAUCGCGUGAAGGAAGACGGUAUUAUGUAUUGUAAACUUCUUUUGGGAGGGAAUAAAGUGCGGGAUGUAUCCCGCUUUGUAUGUACCUUUCGAAUAAGCAUCGGCUAACUCCGUGCCAGCAGCCGCGGUAAUACGGAGGAUGCGAGCGUUAUCCGGAUUUAUUGGGUUUAAAGGGUGCGUAGGUGGGACGAUAAGUCAGCGGUGAAAAUUUUCUACUUAACAGGGACACUGCCGUUGAUACUGUUGUUCUUGAGUAUAGACGAGGCAGGCGGAAUUCGUAGUGUAGCGGUGAAAUGCUUAGAUAUUACGAAGAACCCCGAUAGCGCAGGCAGCCUGCCAGGCUAUGACUGACACUGAGGCACGAAAGUGUGGGAAUCAAACAGGAUUAGAUACCCUGGUAGUCCACACAGUAAACGAUGAUUACUCGCUGUUUGCGAUAUACGGCAAGCGGCCAAGCGAAAGCGUUAAGUAAUCCACCUGGGGAUCACGCCGGCCACGGAC